UACGUAGGGGGCUAGCGUUGUCCGGAUUUAUUGGGCGUAAAGAGCGUGUAGGCGGCCAUGUAGGUCCGGUGUGAAAACUCGAGGCUUAACCUCGAGAUGUCAUCGGAAACCAUUUGGCUAGAGUCCGGAAGAGGAGAGUGGAAUUCCUGGUGUAGCGGUGAAAUGCGCAGAUAUCAGGAGGAACACCGAUGGCGAAGGCAGGUCUCUGGGCCACUACUGACGCUGAGGCGCGAAAGCAUGGGGAGCGAACAGG
rnacentral:rRNA from 1 species